CAGCCGCCGCGGUAAUACGUAGGUGGCAAGCGUUGUCCGGAAUUAUUGGGCGUAAAGCGCGCGCAGGCGGUUCCUUAAGUCUGAUGUGAAAUCUCGCGGCUCAACCGCGAGCGGCCAUUGGAAACUGGGGAACUUGAGUGCAGGAGAGGGGAGCGGAAUUCCACGUGUAGCGGUGAAAUGCGUAGAGAUGUGGAGGAACACCAGUGGCGAAGGCGGCUCUCUGGCCUGUAACUGACGCUGAGGCGCGAAAGCGGGGGGAGCGAACAGGAUUAGAUACCCUGGUAGUCCACGCCGUAAACGAUGAGUGCUAAGUGUUAGAGGGUAUCCACCCUUUAGUGCUGCAGCAAACGCAUUAAGCACUCCGCCUGGGGAGUACGGCCGCAAGGCUGAAACUUAAAGGAAUUGGCGGG
rnacentral:rRNA from 1 species